rnacentral:lncRNA from 1 species
GUUAGGAACUGAUGAAGGUAGUUUCGUGUCCCCUGUAGUUUCAAAUCUCAUGUUGUUGUCUAGGUGGUCACAUGACUCUUGUUUGGACCACCUUCCUUAUUAAUUGUAUUUACCAAAGAUAUACUUAAGAUUUAUGACUAGUUUCUACUUCUUCACAGUUCACACUUCACACCUCCUAGUGUUAAUGUUUUCCACCAAUUGCCUUUUUUCUCUUUUCUCAUAUCAUUUAUGAGGUAAAUUCCUUGAAAUAACAUAAACUUAAUUUUG